UAGCGCCUGGAAACAGGUUAAUGGCACAGUCAUAUGCUCUGUGGGGAGGCAAUACAUCGGAUUGAGCCUUGUUAAACACCUCCUGAAGUUCUCGGUAUUGUAUGGGAACUCCAGGAGUUUGGGGAGUGGUAGUGGGAAGGUCAAUAGUAUCCAAUUUCUUUAGUAAUGGUUUUAUACAUCUCCCCAUACACUCUUUACCCCAUUCUAAUAUCUCCC